AGCUUCGUGAGGUUCUGCCCGCAGAAAAA
rnacentral:sRNA from 1 species